GUGGCAAGCGUUGUUCGGAAUUACUGGGCGUAAAGGGCGCGUAGGCGGCCUUCUAAGUCAGACGUGAAAUCCCCCGGCUUAACCUGGGAACUGCGUCUGAUACUGGAGGGCUUGAGUGCGGGAGAGGGAUGUGGAAUUCCAGGUGUAGCGGUGAAAUGCGUAGAUAUCUGGAGGAAAACCGGUGGCGAAGGCGGCAUCCUGGACCGACACUGACGCUGAGGCGCGAAAGCUAGGGUAGCAAACGGG
rnacentral:rRNA from 1 species